GGUAGGUGCAGGGGAAAUCCAGGAUCUGAUUUUCCACAAGCAAAAUUGCAAAGUUGGCCAACAUUGUUUCUUUACAUUUCUUCCAGUCCCUUUGGUGAGAUAAGCUAAGUGAGUAGGGGUGUUUGUGUAUAUAGAUAUGACAGAUAAUUUAUCACACCUAUACUUCAUGGGGCCACUGGUACCCGUUGGUACUUGCAGAGUCAGUACUAUUAGAGAAAAAGUAAACUAACUGUGCAGAUGCCGUCAUGUGUGUUAUUGCAUUUGACUGUCACAGCAUCCCUUGCAGUGCACACCCUUGUAGAAGUGCAAACUAAGGUUCAGAGUGAUUAAGCAACUCGUGCAGAAUCCAGGGCCAAAGUACAUUUCACAGUAUCCCACUUUGUGUUACUUUAUUGAGGCAGAAGGGAAGAGAAAAGAGAGAAAAAAAGAUGAAAGGAAAGGGGAGGAGGAACAGUAGGUAAAGAAGUGAAGAAAAGGAGAUUCCUUUGUGUAGACGGGUGGCAAAACUAGCCCUAGAGAUGUACAGUGGAGGUGGAAGUCAAGCUCCUUUCCUAUGCUUCUUUGCCACAGUUUAUUGCCUUUACUUUGGGAAUGCCAUGUUUUCUGGAGCUUCCAGGCUUCCCUCUAACUCCCAUUAGCACCCCAUUUUGUUGAGACAUCGCCAGUGUUUCAGAUUCCAGAAUCACCUCUUUUUAUCUGUCCUACGAUGAUCUUGCUUUUCUCUAUGCAGUUGAAUGGGAAAUAAUCUUAUUAGAUAGGUCUAUAUUAGGGCAUGACUGCCUAAAGAUUCCCAUGCUAAAAGAAUCUUUUUAAAAAUAGUUUUUAGAUGUAGAUGGACAUAAUACCUUCAUUUUAUUUAUUUUUAUGUGGUGCCGAGGAUCAAACCCAGUGCCUCACACGUACCAGGCAAGUGCUCUACCCCUGAGCCACAAUGCCAGCCCCACUGAAAGAAUCUUCAUAGAUAAACAUCUGACCAAUAUCAUUACAAACAAAAUAAAAAGGAGAAAGAGAGAAAAGAAAAAAAAAUCAGGCUGUUGGGGGAAGGUAAGAUAUUCUCUAGACUGGGAAAUGUCAGAAGCCAAUAGGAGGGUGGAGUGGGUAUUCCAGCUGCAAUUCCACGGCAAUGCGGGGACCUGAGAUGGAAGCUUAGAAGGUACAUAGCAAAUUGGGAGUUUCUAUAUAGGAGAGAAUCUGUGUAUGAAAAAGAGGGCAGAUCCCAGGCUGAAACAAAGAAAUAAGCGAGUGUGAAAUGGAGCAAUGUUAGAGAAGGCAGGCAUGCCACUGAAUUUUGACCCAUGAGGGCCUCCUUCAAGAGCUGCUGGUGUUUGCUCCUAAGGAGCAGAUUCCAUGAAGACAAUGUGUUUCCUGCUUUCAAGGACACAGGUUAGUACUUGUGGCUCAGGGCUGGGCAUUCAGCCCCAGCUGUUGGCCCUGCCACGUACUCAGUGGUGGGAGGGGAAGGCAACUCCUGGGAAUGGCUUCCUGUUUCCUUGUGCCAAGUCCAAGAAAAGAUGAAAACAAAACAAUUUCACCUGCAAUCUCAAUGGAGGUGUUUUCCGCCAAACAUCAUUGUUAUUGACAUGACCAGCUUGCAAUGAUUAAUUAAGCAAAUACUGGAGGCAUAAAUGCUUUUGUUCUUCUGGUUUAAAAGUGACUUGGAAUUUAUUCUCCCCUUCCAAAUGAGUUACCAAUAGAGGUUAUAGAGGUGACUUAUACCAGGCCACUUGGCAAGCCAAUAGGUUCAAUCCCUACAUGCAUAGCACACACUGUCAGCCUGAUUGGAGGAAUGGUGCAAAAUUCCUCCACCACAUUCUCACACCGCUCCCUACCUGCUCCUCUGCCAGUGUGUGUCAUUUCUAGAAUUGAGAGUCAUUUCCUGGUGUCAUCUUAGGAUAGCAACAGCACUUUGAGCUUUUAUAAAACAUUUACCUAGUGCAAUAUUCUUCUCAUAUCCCUUUCUGAGACAAUUAGCUGGAAGCCAGGCCUUUGGGGAAUAAGGCAGGAAUGAGAGGCCUCACCUUGUUGAAGGAGAAGGAAGGGAAGAACAAACAUGGAAAUUUACCAAAAAUAAACCUGCUGAUUAUGGCCCAGUCUUGCUUCCAGCUGGACAGCUACCC
rnacentral:lncRNA from 1 species